ACAGACUGGCCGCUCUUCCUCCUCUGCUCAAGUUCGCCUGCUCCGAUUUUGGGAGGCCAAGAACGUCUGGCGUGGUGGAGAGUUUAUGGGAGUCGACAUGCUCCUUCUUGAUUCUCAGGCGGCCACUAUCAGUGUCAACCGGCUAGAGACCCACCGGUGUAACAGAGUUUGAACGUUGUAUGAUUCCUCUAUGUCACCAAAUUGCUCAGUGCUUGAGCAGCUCUCACUUUCAGGUAGCGGAACGGGCUCUAUAUUCAUGGAACAAAAUCAUGUUAGUGACUUGGUGAGACAUAACAGCGGAAUCAAUCUACCGAUAGCGUUUCCAGCUUUGGAGAAAAAACGGUAGUAGCCAUUGGAACCAGGCUGUGAAGAACUUGACAGAGAAUGUGCUCAAGGUUUUGUAUGAUACAAAUCCAAAGUUGUUUAAAGAAUGUUUGUGCAAGUUUCAAGAGGAUCAGCUAAAUGCAGAGGAUAACAAGAAGAAGAAUGGAGAAACAUGGAGACAGCUAGAGGAGAUUGUUGCUUCAAUGGCGAAGUAAAGAGUUUUAUAUUCUGCACUUUUCACGCUAUACAAAAGAAAAGAAGAAAAUUGGUUUAUGUUUUGUUUUUCUUACGCCUGAAAGGUAUAUACAGUUUUUACUUUUUGCUUUGCUUGGUUCAAGUCUAUUGUUUGUACUCUUUCAGUUCUUGAUUUUGUGUGUCUGUUUACUUAUCUGUUCAUGUAAACCAUCUUCGUAAGAAAGAGAUGACUCUUGCUCGGUUUUUCAACAGAAAA